rnacentral:rRNA from 1 species
CCGCGGGGUGACUAGCUACUGAAUCAUAGAAUUUAUUCAAAUUCAUGAUGUCGUAAGGGAAAAUAAUGAUAAUACCUUACUAUGAGUGUCGUCCAAAUCUGGUGCCAGAAGACUCGGUAAGACCAGAGACGCAAACGUUAAUCAUCAUAAACAGGCGUAAAGGGUAUGUAGGCAGCUUUCAGCAUACUAUGAUUACAAAAUAAAGUAGUGUAAUUGAAAGCUAGAAUCAAACAGAGGUUAUGUUGUAUAACGCCUAGAGGAGGGCUGAUAUCCUUAGAUCCUAGGCAGAAUACUCAGGGCGAAGGCCACUCUCCACUAAUGAUUGACGCUGAGAAACGAAGGUUAGGGUAGGAAAUAGGAUUAGAUACCCCGGUACUCCUUUCUGUAAACGAUGAAUGGUAGUCAUUAGUCACAAAAACUAGAGACGAAGUUAACACAAUAACCAUUCCGCCUUGUGAGUACUACUGCAAAGUAGAAAACAAAAAAAUUAGUCGGUCUCGAAGCAAACGGAGUGAAGCAUGUUAUUUAAUUAAUAAAAAUCCCCA